rnacentral:misc_RNA from 1 species
CAGCUCUGGCCUUGUUAAUCGCAGCUGCCAAUCAAUGUUGCCUUUCAAGUUAAUUUCAAAUUUUGGAGCAUACCACUACAAAUUCGACUUUGGAAAAAAAAAAUGCCGUUUACCAACAUUAAAAUAUUAUAGAUUGCCAUGGUUCUUAUAUAACUUAGCAUGAUUCACUAGCACUCGAGCAGAAGUCAUUUCAUAUUUCAAUCAAUUCAAAACAUAAUAUGGAAGCCAAGAGCAGAAGUUUCAACGUAUUUCAACCAAUUCAAACUGUCUCUAGCGCAGAAGUACAACAGAUUUCAAACAUAUCAAAGCAUCAUGUGGAGACCAAGAAACUUACUUGGGCUCUUCUUCCUUCCUGGUG